rnacentral:rRNA from 1 species
GACGAACGCUGGCGGCGUGCUUAAUACAUGCAAGUCGAACGGACAGGUCCUGCUUUUGCGGGGUGCUCGAUUGGCGAACGGGUGUGUAACACGUGAGUAACCUGCCCCUGACUUUCGGAUAACAUCAGGAAACUGGGGCUAAUAUCGGAUAUGAGCUCCUGCUGCACGGUGUGGGUUGGAAAGAUUUGGCUGUUGGGGCUGGACUCGCGGCUUAUCCGCUUGUUUGUGGAGUAGUUGCUUACCAAGGUUUUGACGGGUAGCCGGCCUGAGAGGGUGACCGGCGACAAUGGGACUGAGGUACGCAGCAGACUGCUACGGGAGGCAGCAGUGGAGAGUAUUGCGCAGUGAGGGGAAGCCUGAUGCAGAAACGCCGCGAGCGGAAUGACGGCCUUCGAGUUAUAAACAGCUUUCGACUGUGACGAGGCGUGAGUGACGGUAAUGGGUAAAAAAGCACCGGCUAACUACGUG